AAGAUGGGCCAGGAUACUAAUCAAGCAGAAAGUGGGAUUCGAUUACGAAGUCGAUAAAGUCAAGCAGGAUGUGGCAGACAACGUGAUUGGUGACAAGAACACUUACAUGCAGCGUGUGAAAGCUGAGGGUAAUAGGGAAGGAGAACAGAUUCCAGCGGGCGAGUCCUCGGAUCGAAUGGUGACAGAGUAAACACUCUUUUUUAGUCUCUCUAAGUGCUCAGAAGGAAUGGUAAUAGACGGGUAGUUACUUAGAAUAUAAAUGUCAGAAUAAAAGAUAGGAUACGAGUUAGUGGGAUGAUAUGUAAAAUACUUAUAUGCAAUGUAAACAGAAAUACAGAUAAUACAAUAAUACAAAUAAUAUAAUAUUGAUAGACUAUAAAUCAAGA